AUAAGAUUUCAACGUGAAGAAAUUUUGAAGCACAAUACACUUCGUAAUUGUAAAAAGAAACUCGCAGUGACAGUGAAACUGUGUGAUAUUCCAUCAAAAACCACGGGUGAUGAAUUCAUACCAAUUGAACACGUUUUAGACGCUCACAAUAAACGCAUAAGGCUCUUAAACCCGUACAUAUUACGUCUACGGAGGGAAAAACCUUCUCAAUUGUAUAAAAUUCGGAAAAUGGAAAUCGUAACUGGAGUAUUCGGUGCCAAUAUUCAAAAAGGUAGUC